rnacentral:sRNA from 1 species
GAUACCUAAAACAAUGAAAGCCCUACCUCUCUUCCAUCCUUACGGCUCCUUGUCCGUGCCAGUGUGAAUCAGGAUACUAAAAAAGUG